UGAAGAAAACCAAUUCCAUUUACUCCCCAUGCCCCCCCGGGGCUGUGGGCAACAUCACGGCUGCCCCCGGGUCGGGCUUGUUGGGCUGAUGCCUGGGGGCUGAGGGCA
rnacentral:snoRNA from 1 species